rnacentral:hammerhead_ribozyme from 1 species
GUACUGAUGAAGAGUCCCAAACUAGGACGAAACAGAUGUCCAGGAC